rnacentral:rRNA from 1 species
UGGGGAAUUUUGGACAAUGGGGGCAACCCUGAUCCAGCAAUGCCGCGUGUGUGAAGAAGGCCUUCGGGUUGUAAAGCACUUUUGCCCGGAAAGAAAACGUCGUGGUUAAUACCCGUGGCGGCUGACGGUACCGGAAGAAUAAGCACCGGCUAACUACGUGCCAGCAGCCGCGGUAAUACGUAGGGUGCAAGCGUUAAUCGGAAUUACUGGGCGUAAAGCGUGCGCAGGCGGUCCGCUAAGACAGAUGUGAAAUCCCCGGGCUUAACCUGGGAACUGCAUUUGUGACUGGCGGGCUAGAGUAUGGCAGAGGGGGGUAGAAUUCCACGUGUAGCAGUGAAAUGCGUAGAGAUGUGGAGGAAUACCGAUGGCGAAGGCAGCCCCCUGGGCCAAUACUGACGCUCAUGCACGAAAGCGUGGGGAGCAAACAGGAUUAGAUACCCUGGUAGUCCACGCCCUAAACGAUGUCAAACUAGUUGUCGGGUCUUCAUUGACUUGGUAACGUAGCUAACGCGUGAAGUUGACCGCCUGGGGAGUACGGUCGCAAGAUUAAAAACUCAAAAUGAAUUGACGGGGUCAUAGCUG